rnacentral:rRNA from 1 species
CCUACGGGAGGCAGCAGUGAGGAAUAUUGGUCAAUGGGCGCGAGCCUGAACCAGCCAAGUAGCGUGAAGGAUGACUGUCCUAUGGAUUGUAAACCUCUUUUAUCAAGGACUAAAAUGAGGCACGCGUGCCUUUUCGCUUGUACUCGAUGAAUAAGGAUCGGCUAACUCCGUGCCAGCAGCCGCGGUAAUACGGAGGAUCCGAGCGUUAUCCGGAUUUAUUGGGUUUAAAGGGUGGGUAGAUGGGUAGUUAAGUCAGGUGUGAAAGUUUGCGGCUCAACCGUAAAGGUGCAAUUGAUACUGGCAGUCUUGAGUGCAGUUGAGGUAGGCGGAAUUCGUGGUGUAGCGGUGAAAUGCUUAGAUAUCACGAAGAACUCCGAUUGCGAAGGCAGCUUACUAGCCUGCCACUGACAUUGAUGCUCGAAAGUGUGGGUAUCAAACAGGAUUAGAUACCCGUGUAGUC